CAGCGGCAGAUGAAGCACAAGAAGAGAACCAGACCAAUGUGGAGAAGAGCCCGUUUGGCCAGGUGGUCUCCGCGCUGACCUGUCGGCUGACUCCACAAAAGGAAAUUUCACGGUGGCGUGUGUGCAUGUAGACAGGUCAAGGCGUGCUUUCGUGCAAGGCAGCCUGGAAUCAGCAGGAAGCUCUCCUGAACUCAUCCCUGUGCCUUGCCAGAUGGGCACUCUGCUGGGCAGGUCACUGCACCCACACUGUUCAACUUCUUCACAAGACCGCUGGCCAAAAGGAAGGAUCCAAGAACAAGCCUGGUGACAUCCAUUUCUCGGUCACUUCACAGAACAGCCGUGGACCCCAAAACAUAAAACCCCUUUCUAAGUCUGCAGGAAACCUGGAAGGGCACUGACAGCCUUCCGUGACUGCAGGCUCUGCCCUGAUGGAAAGUGGGAGGCAGCCUGGUGAAGUGAGCCCUCCUGCCGGGUACUGGGCAGGGCUCCAGGGGGCCACGGAAUUGCGAGGAUCUGGAUCUGGCUUCUGAGUCUGACUUACCCUGACCUGCAUGGGCUAUACUCAACCAACCCCAGUCUCUGGACCCACAAGCCCUUCUUACGUUCCGC
rnacentral:lncRNA from 1 species